CCUACGGGAGGCAGCAGUGAGGAAUAUUGGUCAAUGGGCGCAAGCCUGAACCAGCCAAGUCGCGUGAGGGAUGACGGUCCUAUGGAUUGUAAACCUCUUUUGUCGGGGAGCAAGGCCCGCCACGUGUGGCGGGAAGGAGAGUACCCGAAGAAAAAGCAUCGGCUAACUCCGUGCCAGCAGCCGCGGUAAUACGGAGGAUGCGAGCGUUAUCCGGAUUUAUUGGGGUUAAAGGGUGCGUAGGCGGAAUGCCAAGUCAGCGGUAAAAUCGCGGGGCUCAACCUCGCUCCGCCGUUGAAACUGGCGUUCUUGAGUGGGCGAGAAGUAUGCGGAAUGCGUGGUGUAGCGGUGAAAUGCUUAGAUAUCAUGAAGAACUCCGAUCGCGAAGGCAAGUGUCCGGGGUGCAACUGACGCUGAGGCUCGAAAGUGCGGGUAUCAAACAGGAUUAGAUACCCCAGUAGUC
rnacentral:rRNA from 1 species